rnacentral:lncRNA from 1 species
GAAGCGGGACCAGGGUGGGGCGGAACACGGCGUAGCACCACCGAGAGUCCGUGCGACGGCCUAGAGCAGCACCGGAAGGGGCGUGUCGGCGGGAGAGCGGAGGGCGCGUCUUCCUGCGGGCUCCUCAUGCUGGUGCGGUGGGAGAGGCGGGCCGGGUCCGGGCGGCGGUGCUCUCUGGCCGCCCGCCCCCAGCUGGGCUCGGCGGGGCGUCUGCUCCUCUGGGCGGAGGCGCUCGCCACCCUUGGGCUCCACCAGGUAUCUCCUGCAUUCGCGCGCGGCGGAACGGGCAGCAGGAAGGCCGGGCUCGCGCUCGGGCGCUGGCGUCGGAGGGCCAGCUGCGGAGGCCUGCGGCAGGCUUGAGGGUCCGGCUGGCCAGGUGGGAGCCCGUCCAUCCAGGGCUCUCCAGCCCGCGAAGGGGCCAGUCUCCGUGGUUCCAGGUUCCCCAAGGCAGGGCCGGGGGGACAGGCUUCCAGAGAGGACCUCCUGCUGCUGGGUGCUCAGAGCUUGGAGAAGCCUCAUCAGAGAGGUAAAGGAGCCACCCCGAAGUUGCACAGCAGGCCAGGGAGCAGCAGCAAGGCUGAUGUGGACUGAGUGGAUAACUGCUUGUGUCCACAGGCCGGUAAAGUGAGAGAUUCCGUUUUUAAUGGUUAUUUUAUGUCAUGUCAUAGGGAGCCACUUCAGAAAAUUCAAAUCCACCAGAACUUUACUUACCUGGCCAGGGACUGUCACCCACCCGUAGAGACUGAAGCUCUGUGGGAGAACAGAAUUUCCUGGCCUGUGUCUUGGGAAUUUAAGGAUGAAAAACACAGCUCAGGGGCUUUUCUCAGCAUCAUACAAGCAAGCCAAUCAUAGAUGCUAAGACAGUAGUUACCUGCGAGCCCUAAGCAGGACUGGAAUUUUCCAGUUAGCAAGCAAGCAAGUUAGAGAAGCUAAGAAGCAGCUUGCAACUCAGUUAACUGCAUCUUGGGUCUGAGCAGGUGUUAGACAACCAUAUUCUGAGUCGGAGCAGGUGGUUAAUGGGGGCAAGAAUCUACUUCAAAGUCUUGGGUCACCAAGACCACCGUGUCCUGGGUUGAGUACAUUUUGUGGGGUAUAAAAUACAGAAAAAAGUAUAUUAUGAGAAAACAGCUUUCAUUUCAGUUUUUCAGAAACAGCUCUUGUAACAGUUUUUUAAUAGAAGGUAGUAAAAUGGAGGCCUAGGCCUAUGACAGUUCUUGCUUUAUAAUGGUCUUUUCUCAAUUCUAAAAAUCUUGUGUCCACCAUCUAUAUUUUUAACUAAUCUAUAACCUAUAACUUACACUUUUAUUGAUUGUAUUUAUCAGUUCACACUAGUCAGUGUGGACACAGGUAGAGAAGUGAGCAAACCUAGUCCCUGCCUUCAUGCCUGCCCCUGGAGGGCCAAGGACACCAUCGUAAAAAGUAUUCUGAGCAUGUCAGUGACAGGGACUGGGGACAGAGACACAGCCCUACCCUCAAAACCCCUGCCUCCUAAGGAGGCUUGCACACCAUGAUGAGCCACCUGAGAAGGGAACACUGCUGUGGAGCUCAGGACUUCACACUUGUCCUAGAGAGUAGUCUCCUGUGGGGCACACGGUGUGUUCUAACAGUUCCUGGGUCACCCGCUUCCUACUAGUACCUGGCCUCAAAGUGCCCGAGGGCUUGGAGCCUCUGAGAGCACCCCUGCUCUUCCUAGAAGAGUGGUGCCGCAUUCCCAAAGCCUCCGCCAGCACAUAGGACUGCUUCACCUACAGCUCCAUCUCCCACCAGACCUGAACCGUCUUCUCCCAGAAGUCGUCUCCAGGCAGAGCCCACAGAAAGGGGUGUUGGCCUGUAGCUGAAUCAUCUAAACGUUUCAUUUGGGAAAGUGCACUCUCAAACUCCUUGUGAGGUAGAACUCUGGUCACUUGGGGCCACUUCCCCUCAUGGAGGGAAGGCCAAACAUCCCUUCCCGACUUAGCAAAGAGAAUUCAAAGGAUUUAUAUUAAAAUAUUUCACUUAGAUGUGUGUUUCCCUUCCGUUUCCUGUUCACACUAGACCCCAGCUUCAGACUCCAGCCUGGUUGACCCGUACAAAUAGGUGGAAUAUUGUUACAUGGAGCACCACAUUUUGAGGUAAGAGAAUGUCCUAGUGGGUGAGAGUGACCAUCCUGGGACUCUGACACUUUGCCAAGAACACUGUCUGCGAGAGUGGUUCCAGGAGCCAGGUAGUCCACCCUCCUUGGAGCUGCAAGCAGAAGGGUGCUCCCCGUAUCUUAAUGGGGCUAUCUUUUACCAGCAUCUGAACGGGCCUGAUGUUUUUCAGGGUGUUGUGCUGGAAUCCAUCAGUUAGUACUUAGAGGCAAAACAAUACACAGAAGAAAUGGAACAGGAUUUUUUUUUUUUAAGGGAUUGAACCCAAGAGCAGGAUUCUUAACAAAUGAAAAGGUGCAGCUGACUCUUAAGAGACCUGGACCUUGCCUGUUACUCCUCUGGCUCUGGUUGACUAACUCUCGUGUGAACUGGUGCUGAGGUUGGGAUUCUGUCACGCGGACGUGUGGAUGGGAAUUCAGGUCUUCUCCCCGAGCGGUCCUUGCAAGAGGCUGACAUUUCUAUAGGACAGUGUCCGGACCAUGCAAGCACAGGCCUACUUGGUAGUUAGCUGCAGCUUUGGCCCCAAGUCUGAAUGAGAACAGCCAGUUGCUCAGGCAAGACGGCCGUGGGGGAGUCACCAGAGCAGUACCACGGCUGCCACCCCUCCUAAGAGGCCCAGUGGACGGCGGCAGAGAUCAGACAGUGUGCUCCGGAAGUGAUAUCGUUCAAUUUUUUAGACUUUCAGCACAGUUAACGACGUACUUCCAUGUCCAGGAGCUUUUCCAAAGCCCUGGAAGAAACUGUAUAAACUAGAAACAUUAUACAUUUGGUUAAAGACGAGAGUGAUUUGAGGGAAAAGGUGUGUGGGACUCUUGAGAAGGAGCCACUGAAGGCGAAGGGCCCUCCUUGUGCAGACCUCCAGGGGCAGGAAGGAUGGUGGGUGCUUGGGACACUAGAGCCAGCUGAGGGAGACGUGAGGGCCGGGGUGCGGAAGCCUUGGUAGUACAAGUGGAAGCCUUUGGGGAUUUGAGCGGGGAUAGGUGUGCGAUUUGCUGGCUGCUGUGGGCCAAGGGGGUAACCCACGUUUCACCCAGCUCAGCACUAAGAUGUGGGUGAUGGAGGCACCCCUCAGAAGCCCCUAUUCCAGAGCAUGCCCACUGAUCCCAGUGUGAAAGGGACAGUUAGGGAAGUGGAGAAAAGAAAGCCACGUGGUGGCCAUUCAUUCCUGGUGCACACAGAACCCUGCUGGACACUUGAAAUCCCUGCCCCAGCAAGAGGAGGGAGCCGGGGACGGGUGAGAUGAGGUGGGAGCUCGUAGCACCAAAAGCACCUUGAUCUGCUAUUCAGUCUUGCCCUUUCAGCCACAGAGCAGCCGGCGGUGCUGUCUUCCCCGCACAGAGCCUCAGCCACGCGCAGCGGGAAGCUGCCUCGAGGGGCGUGCUGUCAGGAGGAGGAGCUGGGAGCCCUCAGCUUCCAGGGUGCCUUCUCCCAGGAUCAGCAUGGAGAAGCCUGCAGGCAGGAAAAGGAGAACCCAGGCCCCAGAGGCAGAGGCAGAUGUGCAGAAGGCCACUCUGAAAGGAGAGAAAGCAUCUGGUGGCAAGAGACCCGCAGCACCCAGAGAGCACCACAAGGAGCCGAGUCUGAGCCCUGAAGACGAGGCACAGCUCUUUGAUGCCUUCGACGCCUCGUUUAAAGAUGACUUUGAGGGUGUCCCUGUGUUCAUUCCUUUUCAGAGAAGGAAACCCUAUGAAUGCAGUGAGUGCGGACGAAUCUUUAAGCACAAGACGGAUCACAUUCGCCAUCAGAGAGUUCACACUGGGGAGAAGCCCUUUAAGUGUGAUCAGUGUGGGAAAACGUUCCGGCACAGCUCUGACGUCACCAAACAUCAGAGGAUCCACACUGGGGAGAAGCCGUUUAAGUGUGGGGAGUGUGGGAAAGCCUUCAACUGUGGCUCCAACCUCCUGAAACACCAGAAGACCCACACCGGAGAGAAGCCAUAUGAAUGCCAAGAGUGUGGGAAAGCCUUUGCCUACAGCUCCUGUCUUAUCCGGCACCGGAAACGCCACCCACGGAAGAAGCAUUGAGUGGGGGUGGCCUUCAGGUCACAGAGUUCCUGCUGGGGCACCAGGGCUCCCUCAUGCAGCAUCCGGUGAGGCCUGGGCCCUGUGCUGUGUGCUGUGCGUGCCUCUGGCUACCAUCCCUGUCGUCACCAGAAGAAUCCACCCAUCAGUGUGAGUUGGCAAGAGGCCUUUCUGCAUCAAGCUACAGUGGUGGCACGGAAGCUGCUCGAGGCUCCUUGCAGCCACAGCCAUUUUCCAUGCUGCUCUAUGCUGCUCAGUGCUCAACACAGAACAAACCAGCCUGUCACCUGCCAUCCAUGGGAUACCUGAGGACACCCCUGGGUUCAGUCCCCAGUAGGAGUGGCAUUCGUAGUUGGUGAAGGCUGAUGGCUCCUGAGUGGCCCUGCCUAUGGUGUCCACUCCACUCUGGUCCUGUUACUAACACCUUGAAGACUCCAUCUGUGGAUGCUCAGCCCCUUGGAUCCCUGAGUUUAGUCCCAGGAACUGAGCAGGCACCUGGGGCCCCAAGCUGGAUAGCAGUGGUCUGUGACCAGCUCUGGCUUCUUUACUAGGGUACCAGGCCCCAAGUUCAGCCCCGUCCCUGGAACUGAGCCGCACCUGUGCUCUCCCACCCAGCCGCCACCCCAGAUGGACAACCUGACUUACCCAGACCGACCCGUCAGACAUGGGCUCCUCGGCUCCUGAGUGCUGCCGCCUUGGGAGAUUCCUGCCCUGGCCGUGUGCUAGGCCCCCAGGGUGCUACCUGCAGCUUCCAUCCACUUGACCUUCAGACAUGGUGGUGGCCCUACCCCCUUGGUGGCCUCCACUCAGGUUAGUUCCAGUUCCCUGCCUCUCCCCAAGUCUGUCAAGUCCGCGUGGCUGUGCUGGCCCUUUGUAUCCCAAGAGUGAUUUGGAUGGGACUCUGUGCUCUUGGGGACUGGCUUGUAGGAGGGCAGCAGAGCAGUGCCAGCCAGGAAGCAGGACAGCUUUUUACUGGGAGAAUGCUGGCACCCAUGUUUUCAACUGGGAGUAAAGACUGAUAAUGGCCUAAUAGAGUGUUGUGGAGACUCGACCCUGAAAAAAAGCUUCCCAGCCAGAGCUGAAGAUAGUGUGUCAUUCAAGCAGUCACAGAAAGCAAGGGACACCACCCCAAAUGAUUGAGAGUGGUCCUAUUCCCAGUGCAAAUAUUUUGCCAGGUGAACAGCUUUUACUCUCUGAAUCCCCUAGGAGCUGUGACGCUCAGUGCCACUGCAUGACCAGGUGUCCCCUGAGGCAGCCUCCCAGCCAGAUUGGCCACAUUAGUAUCACAGGCAUCGCCACCCUUGCAGAGUGGCCUGCCACUCUCAACACACUUCCAGUCCCUGUGCUCAGUUCUACUUGAGAACACUGCACAGUGUACACAAAGCCUACUGCUUCCUGGCAGUGCAUGCUGGCUGCCCAGUCAAGGAGCCCACUGUGAUUGAUGCUGGGGGCUGCAGUAUGGCCAGCAGCUGCCCCAUGCAGAGGCGGUGUGAUUCCCCAGCUCUCAGUUUUCUGAAGGUUCACACUGAGUUCCUAGCACCAGACUCCCUCUGCUUUACACACACACUAGCCUAGACAUUAGGAAAAAAAUUACCUAAAUCAGCGGGGCACAGGGGCAUGUGCCUAGAAUCCCAGCUACUCAGGAGCCUGAAGAGGGAAGAUCACAAGUUGAGGCCAGCCUGGGCAACCUAGUGAGACCUGUCUCAAAGUUGAAAGGGCUGGAAUGCAGCUCAGUUGUGGAGCACCCCUGUGUUCAAUCCCUAGUACCACCAAAGAACAAUAAUUCACCUAAAUUCCAAAAACAAGUGAAGGCCUGACAUAGGAGUUUAGCUUAUGGCCCAGUUAAUCUAUAAUGGCAGGUCCUGGAGCCCAGCCUGUCACUUUCCCAUGUCCAUUUUUUGGUCUACAAGACAGCACCUCACAGACUCCUGGAAUAUUCUGAGGCCAGGCUCUCUGGGGCUUCACCCACUGCUCUUGGCCUGGAGUGCAGGGCAGCCAUGGCCCACCUGGACAGCUAGCUCCUAGUGAUGCAGGGGACAUUGGCUGGUACUACCCCCACGGGACAGAGGAUUUCAGGUGAAGAGCCUCCCAUGCUGGGACCUCCUUCUGAGUUGUUCCUAGGGGCUGUCCUGCCCAGGCUGGGUCACCGCAGUCCCAAGAGGAAGCCCAUAUUCUCAGUGCAGAUCUGAUGAAGUGGAAGUAUACAAAAGCAGGUGUCAGAGUUGGUGUAGGACACUUGUGUGCUCACCCUUCUGUAGCAUGUGGUCCUCAGUUGGAAGAGUUGCCCACGUUGCUGGGAUGUUUGAAGGCACUAGGUUGUCGAGCAGUGUUUGCCUCCUAGCCCACGUCUCAGUUCCUAAAGGUGAGAGGUUUUCAGAGUUCAGUAUCAUGGUGUCUGCAGCUUAUAUUCAGAUGUUGAACUAAAACCAGUGCCAACAACAAGUGUGUUCAUAUUGAGCUGCAGAGCAGAUUGGCCAGUGUUGACUCUGAGUGACGAGGUCGGAGGUUGGCACAUGUCUUCUGUGAAAGGCCAGAGAGCAACCAUUCCUGGCUCUGCAGCACACAGUUAUCAGGUGGUACAGCCCAGUGUAGAGCGAACGAGCCAGACUGGGUGCGGGCCAGAGCCCGUGGACCAGGCAGUAGCUGUCACUUUCCCAUUGUGGUACAGGGUUAGGGCACUGAACCCUCAAAGCUGGCAGACUUUUCCUUUGCAAACUUUCUAUAGGUCUUAAAGUCCUUCAGAACUAGAUGUUGGCCAGGAAGUUGGGAGACUUGGGUAGAGGACAUGCAUGGGAGCCAGAGAGUGGCCAAGAACAUCUCAGUCUGUGUCCUCUGAUGCUUGGUGUGCCAGGAGGAGGGUGACCUAGACAUCACAGCAGUCUCGGUAUUCACGUGCCCCCAUUGGUUUAUUUAUUUAUUUUUUUCCUCCUUUUGGUACUGGGGAUUGAACCCUGGGCUGCUCUACCACUGAGCUACAUCCCUAGCCCUUUUUAUUUUAUUUUGAGAUAGGAUCUCGCUAAGUUGCCCAGGCUGGACUUGAACUUGUGAUCCUCCUGCCUCGGCCUCCCAGGUAAUAGUGGGAUUUUACACAUGUGCCACCAUGCCCAGCUGCUUUGUGUUUUGUUUGCAAUAAUUUCUCCCUGCUGUUAUUGGGAAACAUCACUUUUAAUGAGUGCCUAAUGAUCUGUUGACUGAGAAAAUCAAAGCUGACUUAAUCAUCUCCUAGCCUGGUCACACAGAUUUGGGCUUAAAUUGUUAUAAAUAAUGCCAUGAGAAAAAAAUAAAAACUAACAAAAGAACAGUGAUGGCAUAGUAAGUGCUUUUUUCCACUUAGGACCUGUAGGUGGUGUCCCAGGUGCAGAGUUCCAUGUUGCUGAGCACCUGCCCCUGGUCCGGGCCUUGAAGACACUGCAGCAGUGUGGACAGAGGGCUGCCCUGGCCACCAGCAGCUGACAGGUAGGUUCUUACUCUUGCCGGCUCACUGAGAGAGAAGAGGUGUAUUGUAACCUAGUGUCCGUGGUCUCUGUGAAAGAAGGAGGUGCUAGAGAGCAUACAGGCACUGGUUUGGCCCUAGACUACAGUGUGGGACCUGGAGUGUGUCACUCAAGCACCUUGUGCCUCAUUCUCCAGUGUGAAAUGGGGUGCUGAUGGUGCUCAACCCCAGAGGGUCUCCAGAAAUCAGUGAUUUGAUGCAUGAAGGUCUAAGUACAGUGCUGGUUCAUACUGAAGGUUAACAAAUGCUAACUCUCAGCAAGGUGCAGUGGCACACAUCUGUGAGACCAGCUACUCAGGAGGUUGAGGCAGGAGGAUCACAAGAUUAAGGCUAGUCUCUAUCUCAAAAAUUUAAAUAAGGGUUUGGGAUGUAGUUCAGUGGUAGAGCACCCCUAGGUUCAAUCCCUGGUACCACCAAAGAAAGAAAAAAAGACUAGUCUUCUCACACAUUUGUGUUCUUAAGUGCUCAUUCACAUGUGUGGAGGGGUGCCCUGCAUGUUUCUCCCAAGAAAAGAUGAGAGCAGAAUUUUUAAAGAUCACCAUGGAGAAGAGCACAUGGCAAGGUGUUUUUUUUUUGUUUUUGUUUUUUAAUACAGUUGGAUUUUUAUUUAUUUAUUGGGGGGGGAUGCCAGGGAUUGAACUUGGGGGCACUUGGCCACUGAGCCACAUCCCCAGCCCUAUUUUGUGUUUUAUUUAGAGGCAGGGUCUCACCGAGUGGCUUAGCGUUUCACUUUUGCUGAGGCUGGCUCUGAACUCGUGAUCCUCCUGCCUCAGCCUCCCGAGCCUCUGGGAUUACAGGCCCUGCACCAACUCGCCCAGCAGAUUUUUUUUUUUUUUUAAUUAUGGUUCAUGGUUAUGAGAAAAAUCACCCACCCAACCCCAAAUCAGUCAGCGUCCUCUCUUACCAUCUUUCUGGCACAGACAGACAGGUGAGCUCAUUUCCUUUUUUCUGAGGCAACCAGGACAACACCAAGCACCAAGACCAGGUGAUGCAGGUGGACUCUGCUGUUUUGUUGUUUAAAUGAAACUCACCGUCCAGGAAAAGAAAUCCCUAAUCGCCCAAGUCGAAGCCAAAACAGUGGAAGUGACAGGGCUCCUGGAGCUCAGUGCCCCUGAGAGCCACUGGGACAGCGGAGGCCUCAGAGGCCCCAGAGGCCGCAGGGUGCUGGCGGGAGCAGAAAGGGAGAAUGAAGCCAGAGAGGCUAAGGGACUGAAGGGAAGGCUGUGAGAGCGCGAUUGGGGUCGGUGUGGCUGAGGGAGAGGACAGGUGAACCGUUGGUCGGGUCGUGGUUUGGAUAUGAGUUGACAGAGCUCAUGUGUGUCAGCGCCAGUAGGCCUCAAGGUGAGUGGCUGUGACCUAAUCAGCAGCGAUCCAUGAUGGAGCCUCACUGGCAGGUGGGGCGGGCCGGGGUCCUGGAGCUGCCUCAGGGUUGUCGAGCAGAGCCUCGGCUGCCUGCUGCCCUCUUCCCAGCUGCGUCCCUCAGCCACACUCCUGCCGGCUUACCUCAGGCCCAUGGAAUGGACUCAGCCCCCUACAGACUGAGACCUUUCGAACCCUGAGCCCCAAAAUAAACUUAUUCCUCCAAAAUUAUUAUAUUUUUAGUUGGGGAUGGACACAACACCUUUUUUUUUUUAUUUAUUAAUUUAAUGUAAAAAUUUUUUUAGACAUUGAUGACCUUUAUUUUAUUCAUUUACUUAUGGGUGGUGCUGAGAAUUGAACCCAGUGCCUCACACGUGCCAGGCAAGCGCCCUACCACUGAGCCACAGCCCUAGUCCCCAAAAUCAUUCUUGUGGGGUCUUUGGGUCACAGCAGUGAAAAAGCUACUAAAACAAGUAGUGAGAGGGGAGACAAGUUCAGAUUUGAGAACACAAAAGAUGAGAACCACCACAUAGACCGCACACAGGCAGAAGCCCAGAGAAGCAGCCAGGCUCCGAAGACAGUGUACCAAGCCACUUGUGGAGGAGUCCCCUGCAGAGUCCCGUCACGCCCAAGGAGAUGGUCAGUGGCUUACAUUCUUCCCAAAAGAAUCCAAAUUCAGGAAACCCCAACUCCAGUUAUACGCGAUGGAAAAACGGGAAAUAGUGGGGUACACACGUGUAAUUCCAGCAACUUGGGAGGGUGAGGCAGAAGGAUUGUGAGUUCAAGUCCAGCCUUAGUAAGACCCUGCCUGAAAAUAUGUAGUUGAGUGGGAGACAGACAGGAGCUGGAAGAAACAUCCCUUUAUUUUAUGGGACAGAUAUAACUUUGAAAUCCAAGUUACAGCUCUGUUUCUGUGUCACAUACAUAGACAUAGAAAUCCUAAACAAAACCCUAGCAAGCAAAGUUCAGUGGAACGUACAAUGUAGCAUGACCAAAUCAGGUUUACUUCAGGAAGGCAGAUUUUGUUCAAGGUUGAUGUAGUGGGACUGGCAAUGUAGCUCGAUGGCAGAGUGCUUGCCUAGCAUUUGUGAAGCCCAGCUUCUAUCCCCAGUACUGCAAAAGAAAGAAAGAAACUCUGAUCAUCAUGAUUGACAGGUAAUGUCACUGUGUACACAGAAAUCUGAAAAUCAUCACAGAACUACUGGAUUUAUUAAGACUUUAGUAAGGUCAUGUAGAAGAUCAAUGUUAUAAAAGUUAGUUGAAAUUAAGACCAAAGAGAAUAGAAAGCAGAGGUGUAAAUGGACAUCACUGUAUAAUGUUGAUAGCAGCAUCAUUUACAGCAACCUAGGAAAGAUGUAAAAACAAAAGUGUGAGACUUACGUAGAAAUUUUACAUGUCCUUUAAGUAAAUAAUCUAAAUAAAUUAGGAAACUGUAUCACAACACUGACAGUCCUAAAAUUAUAAAGACAUUAUCUCUCCCUCAAAUUAAUUUAGAAUGCCAAUCUAAUUACGUUUCCAGCUAGGUUGUAUGCAGAGCCCAAGUGAUUCAGAAUUGUGUGUGCAAGACGGCUGAAGAAGGGCCAGGUGGGGUCCUGGGGAACCUGCCCUGCCACAGCCAGAGCUUCUCAGCUUGGCAGCAAUCAGGCGUGGGGACUUGGGGGGGGGGGGCCUCACAGCAAAGGCAGGGCCUAGACCCAAAGCGUCCCCAGACCUUCGAGGUUAGCAAGAAGCAAGCACCUGUUGUGUCGGGACCCAACUGAAGCCUCUGGCUGACACCAGGUACUCACCCUGACUGCUGCUGCAGCAGGUGACACCUUCCCAACCAGGGGGCACUUUUUUUUUUUUUUUUUUUAGGAAAAAGACAAGUAGCAAUUAGAAAGCAGACAGAAGACAGGCAUUUCACAGAAAAAAAAACGUGAACAGCUCAUAAGUCUAUGAAAAGAUCUUGAUCUCAAUAAGGAAUACAAGAUGGGACGGCAGGGAGAUAACAGAUUCAAUAAAAUGUUUGAGUCUCCUCAUCCACUCAGGAAACAAGAUAAGCCAAGGAACUGUCUUCUGUACUGUUGGAGUGUCCCAAGGUCAGCAACUUUGGGGAACAGUCUGAUGUUUCCCUGCCAGUUGAAGGUCUGCACCCCAUUAACCCAGAGACUUCACUUAUUUAUUGCCUCAGAGAAACUUUGUACAUCUGCCCAAGGAGAUGGUUGUAGCAUGCAGUGGUGGUCAUGGUGUGCUGUGUCACAACCUGGAAGUCCCCAUGUGUCACUAGUGCUGCCGUGCAAGAGUUUCCAUGGGCUCAGGGGCGUCCACAGGAACAAGCAGCUGCAGGGUGCACUGGGACAUGAUCCUGGGCAGAGGAAUUAAUCCAGAAGCCGAGAGUGUGCUGUGGGGCUGUGAGUGGCAAAGCACAGGAGCGCUAGAGGUGCUGAGAAUGGGCGGGGGUGGCUGUCAAGUCAUUCCACUCCCAGCCCCAAGUCUUCGAAGCAGCAGGCGCUUCCUGCACGAGAGUGCCACCCGGUCUGGACCCAUGCUGCCCAUCCCCCUUCGCCUUCUCUGAGCCCCUCCACCAGCUCCUAGCAUCUCUACUCCCCCUUGGCAGCACCCCUGCUCGCUCAGUCGGCUUUCUCCCAGCCAAGGGACAAGGCAGGAACUCCACCUCUUCCCUUCACUCCUGUUAUUUCUCAUCCUUUCCAGGCCGCUGGAGAGGACCGUCCCAGCAAGGUGUCCUGAGGAAAGGACCCUGGAACCAACAGGCAAGACCCCGUGUUCCUGCAUUCAGAGGGGAGUAGAGAGGACCAGUGUCCACAUGCAGCUCCUCUGGCCAUCCAGGCUGAGGCUUGUACAAUAGAGAGGGCCUCUGGGGACAUGUAGGAAGAAAGCCAGGCGGCGGGUAGGGACGAGCAGAGAGGCCCUGUCGACACAGCCGCUCCGCAGGGCUCUUGGUGCCCAUACUGCACACCGCUCAGCCACAUCAGGCAGCUGCCCACCAGGGACAGUCCUUGCUCGCUGUCAGCUGCCAGCCAUUGCGGGGGCGCUCUUCAUACCAACUCCAUGCUCAGAACCCUCUGGACACCUGAGAAAGGUCCUGAGAGAAACGGGACAGUCCUUGAGCCAUGUGACAGGGCUCCCUCACAGGAAAACGAUCGACAAAAGCCAGGAGCUGGAGGAGCCCACCUAGGCAGUGCCACUAUAACCAUCACGUCCAGCAGGCAGCACCCAUGCCAGGCCCUGUGGGGAAGCAUGGCCUGCAGGUUGCAGCUAGGCCUUGCCCACAGAGAGGCUCUGCCAGGGACCCAACAUCACGAAUCCAGACCCGGUGUUCUGGUAGCUGCUUUUCUCUCCCUGAAGCCUUCUCUGGCACACAGGUGGGCAGGCUGGCCAGCAGCAUGGCCUUGGCCUGUCUGCCUGCAUUUUCUGACUCCCAGUUAUACCUGGGCACCAUUCCCUGUAUCUCAGAUCUGUCCCAGUUUGGGCACAAGAUAAACUCAUUUCCUUCCUGUGCCAGUGAGCUCAGACACCAAGACACUGUGGAGGAAGGCAGGACUGCGGGUGUGGGGAGAGCCAGGUGCUCGGGAGCAUGGGGUAGGCUCCAGGUGAGGAGCUGGGCCCACACACUGCCGCUGUCUGCAGACAGCAGAUGGCUCUGGGCCUGUGUUUUCCAGAGCCUCAUACCUGGAACUUGGCCCCUGCCUCCUCCUGGUGUCCUCCUCCUGAACACCAGGUACGUGUUCAGCUCAUGGAGGACAGGCAGGCCGUCCUCAUCUUGGCUGCACCCCAGGACUUGUGCUUGUCUGUGGUGCAGCUCCAGCUGAUGCCAAAGUGGCACAGGGAGAACCUCUGGGACCAGCAAGGGUCCCUGGGCUUCUGUAAGCAGCACCCAUGCCAGGCCCUGUGCAGCCUCACCUCAGCCACCUGUGGGCUCAUCUGAGUGUUUGCACCUCUUUGUUUUCCUGCAUGUGGGACUCCUGGUGCAGCUGGAGGCAAGUAUCAUAGGACUCUUCUGUUCUGUCGGGGGCAACACCCUGUGCACCUUAGUGACCCAUGUACUGCUGUUAACAGUCAUGUUCUGGCCUCUUGUGCUGUGGCAGAUACUCUCCCUAGUCCAAUUUUUCCCACUAUAAUUUGUAUUGUCCAAAAAUUUAACUCUCCAGCUAGCCAGAGUCGCUCCACGUGUCUUCAACCUUGGGGUGAAACUGUUUGCGGCUUUUGUGACUCACUCUGUCCUUGGCUCCCUCCACCCUGAGGGCUGCCUUGCGGGGCCACCACAGCUCUGGUCACCAAGCCUGCCUGUCCCUGCUGCUCAUGGACAUGUGUCCUCCUGGAGUGGACGUCUGCUGUGUUCCAUUGUGCCUCCUGCAGUUUGGGGUGUGCUCAAGAUUCCUUCAAGGAGGAGGCCACUGGCUUCCUCUCCAGGGAAAGUGAGGAUGCCCCUUCCCAGGUCUCCCCAGUACAGGGUGGGACCCCAGCAGGCCACUGCCCCCAGUGAAAGUCUUUAGGAUGCUCCCAUUAACCAAACUCGUGAGAACCUGACACACACGAGAAAACGAAUCACUGCCUUGUAAUGGGAUUGCCCCUUCCCAGAGACGGAACACCACCCGCCCUUCUGGCUCCAGGCAGCUGGGAGGGAGGCUAGUUGGAGUUUGGUCAGUUGUGCAUCACCUGCAGUCAGGACUUCAGGGAAGCCUGGGAGGUGUUCUGGGCUCCCCCCUGGCACCCUGUCAUCCCCAGCCCCCCUCCCUGAAUUCCAGAUAACAUGCAGACCCAUGUGUCCUUGCUCACACAUCCUUCAUUUUGGGCUAUAGUUCUCAGCAAGGGGCAAUUCUGACAUCAGGGAACACUUGGCAAUGUGGGGACAACUUUGUCAAUAACUGGGAGGACCUGGUGGGUGAAGGGCAGGGAUGCUACUGAGCAUCCUGCGCAUACAGGCCAGCCCCCAAGACGGCUAACAAGAGGUACAUGUACCCCAAAGGACAGUGGGCCCCAGGGCCAGGAGCUGUGGCAGGCUGAGGGAUGGUCCACAAGCCCACGCAGCAGCCAAGAGCAGCUGAGGUGUGUUUUGUUUGGGUACUAGGAGUUGAACCUAGGGUGCUUUAUCACUGAGCUACAAACCCAACACUUUAUUUUGACGUUCUCAGAUUGGCCAGGCUGGCCUUGAACUUGAUGAUUCUCCUGCUUCGGCCUUUUAAGUCCUGGGAUUCGCCAACAUGUGCAGCCACACUCAUCUCUCCUGCUCUUUUUCUUUUUGAGUAAAGGGCAUUUUAUUCAGUAAAUAAUGCAAUUUGGAUAUUUACAUUGAUUAUGAAACUUUACCAGUUCCAGGUUUAUUUAACUGGCCAGAAAGGCAGCCAAGGUUUAGUGUCCCACUGAGAGCACACCAGGGGCCAGAGCCCGACUCAGCCUGCAGUGCCAACCUCGAAGUCACCACAGCUGCCCUGUCCAACCACUAAUGCACUCCAGGGGGCCUGGUCGCCUGCUCCACCUUCUCCCCACCAGCAGUAUUUGCCACCUCCAAAGUCAGUGUCCAGUUGGAGCCAGCACAGGCCUCAUAAGGCACGAUGGGCAGCCCCCAGGACCACUGGGGUCAGGACCCCAGAGGAAGGGGGACAAUCAGUCUGCAGCCCACUCUCCUGCUCAGGAACUGAACCCACAUGAGGAUUUUGAGUUGUCCCAGGCUUGCUGUCCACCAGGGCCCUGGUGGUCCUGUUUAGAGGACUCCUCCUCCCCAGCUGCAGGUCAAUCUCUCAGCUCUUGUCCUGGACACCACCUUGUCACAGGAGAGUAAGGAGCAGGAGCUCCAAACCUCAGUUCUGUGUCCUGGCGAAAGAAAAUCUAAAGUCAGACAUGAAAAGCUAAGCACAGGAAUGUUAUGAGUGAUUCGUAAGUAGAUAAAGAUGGUGAACAAAUGACCCUCCAGAUUCUGGAUAUACCUUCUAAAAGGAGAUGGUGAGGGCUGGGGUUGUGGCUCAACAGUAGAGCG